rnacentral:rRNA from 1 species
UACGGAAGGGGCAAGCGUUGUUCGGAAUCAUUGGGCGUAAAGGGCGCGUAGGUGGUUCUGUAUGUCUAUCGUGAAAGCGUACGGCUCAACCGUAUUUUGUCGGUAGAAACUGCAGGACUUGAGGCUGGGAGGGGCUGGUGGAAUUCCCUGUGUAGCGGUGAAAUGCGUAGAGAUGGGGGAGAACACUCGUGGCGAAGGCGGCCAGCUAGACCAGUUCUGACACUGAGGCGCGACAGCGUGGGGAGCAAAC